GCCGAAGAUCUGUUCCCGGAUGGCUUGGAAAGAGUGGCCGGGGUCAGGAUCCACGUAAGGAGCGGCGUCACCGAAGUAGACACGCUGAGCGUUGGGGUCGGUGGUGGAGGUGGGGUUCCACUCGGUGCCAGUGACGCCGUUGAUGGCGGGAUUGAGGCGCUUCAUCCAGCCGAGCAUGUGGUCGAAGGAACGGUUCUCCAUUACUAGCACCACCACUGUCUUUAUCGGGCUGGCAGAAGCUGCCGGCCGGGAGAGGAGGAGAAGGAGUAGCGUGUAGCAUAACACCGUCGUCGGUCGGGCCAUUGGUAACUAUUGUGUUGUGGGGAGAAUGCUGGUCGGAGAGAGAAGUGGAAGCAG
rnacentral:misc_RNA from 1 species